rnacentral:rRNA from 1 species
AACGUAGGAGGCGAGCGUUAUCCGGAUUUACUGGGCGUAAAGCGUACGCAGGUGGCUUCGUUAGUCGGACAUGAAAGCUCCUGGCUUAACUGGGAGAGGCUGUUCGAUACUGCGAGGCUUGAGGUUGGGAGAGGGACGUGGAAUUCCCGGUGUAGUGGUGGAAUGCGUAGAUAUCGGGAGGAACACCAGUGGCGCAAGCGGCGUCCUGGCCCACACCUGACGCUGAGGUACGAAAGCGUGGGUAGCAAACAGG